UGUUUUUAAAGCAGGAGCUGGGAGUCUAUGUUCCAGCCGUAACUCAAAUGGUGUUAGUCAGGAGAUUGGAAUAGUAGCCCAAAGAGCCAGAUGAGAGCUGAGCAACCUCUCCCUCCCCCAGGAAGAUGUUCAAGCACAUCUUACUCUGACUCUGCUGUACUUCCCUACCCCCGCCCCCCAGCACAACAAGGUCCUCCCUACCUGGGUAACAUGCUCCCAUAGACUAUGCAACUGCUAGACACUGGUACUUCAAACUGAGCCUUGUGUUUUGCUGGAGAGAUGACAAGUGAGGAGAUGACACUCAUGAAGCUGUUUCCACAGCAAGCUGGGUU